GAGGAUCCACCACCACCUCCCCCACCGCCACCGCCAGUUGCCGCCAGUUUAUCGGCGGGAGAUUUGGCGGCAGGUUCACCGGAAUUAUUAUUAUUAUUAUUAACUUUCGGUUGUUGUGGAGAUUUUAAAGGGGAAGGUUGAGAGGUGGAAGUAGAACGUCUGUUUCCUAAAUGAGAAACAUCAGACAUCAUUGAUUUACUUGGCCAUGAGCCACCUCGACUUGUACUAGAUUUUGUUUCAAUCAUUGUCAUUUCAGCUUCCACACGUCUCUUCCAUGUGCUGACUAGACUUCUUGCUUUCUUCUGAAUCUCUGAAUUUUUAUGGCUUCUUAAAUGAUUCACAGAUUUCCCAACAUUACAAGUCUGUAAAGCAUGAAGAUUCACAGGUAACCUAUCAAGGGCACGAAGUAGAGAAAAAAGAAAAUCUUCAACAGAUUUAUCGUUUUCUUUUGGACUCCCAUUCCCAUCGCCGAUUUUACCCUUGUGGAUUUCUUGAAGCCAUUCAUCCAAAACUGACAAACCCCUUAAUUGAACAAACCGAGUUAAAUAAUCAAAUCUUUCAGUAACUGAUAUGACAUCAACAAGCAUUGUUCGGGAAGAUAAGUCGAGUUUUUUGUCGGUGUUUUCGGGUCUCAUGAGUUGGAUUAGUUUUUCAACUCCUUGGAAAUCCAUCAAUCCUCCUUUAUCAGUGAUUUUGGAAAUUUCGGUUUUUAUUAUGUGUUCAGGUCUAAGUUGACCAGAAUNAAGAAUCUUCAGGUAAAGGAGGGGAACAUGCCACGUCAGAUCUUGAGAUUUCACCAGCUGCCACGCUGGCAAGAAGAUUCAUUCCACCAUCAUCACCCAUUGAAGGUGACACUGAGACACUAGCUUCAGAAAACUUAGCACAGCUUUCUACUAACGCGUUUAUAGAGCUAUAAGAAGGUUCAUAUAAUUUCCCUGGUUUUGGAGUGACCCCAGAUGAAGAACCACCAUGUUCAUCAGGUAACACAACAGUCACAGUUGCUGACUUGGCAUCAUCACAGCCCUCCAUUCCAUCUUUCCCAUCUGUAUCCAUUUUUUCCACAUUGCUCUGUAAAGAAUCGUUUACAGUUUUUCCACUUGUCUUUUGAUCUUGCUUCUCAGAAGGUGCCACAACACUUUGGUUGUUUCCAUUAUCUACAAUGGACACAUCAGACACAUGUCCAGCUCCUUUCUCAUUACCAAAAUUCCGGAUUUUUCCAAGAUUACCCUUUUCAUUUCCUGGAGUUGUGGAGCCAUGGAAACCAUUGCUUGAGUUCCUGCUAUUGUAAACACUACCAGUCUUCCCAUGAUCACUAGAGCAAGAUUGACUGUUGUUUGGAGAAUGAGUGGUGCUUGAACUCCUACCUUCUUUAGUUCCAGAUGAAGGCAUGUCCGAGGAUCCACCACCACCUCCACCACCGCCACCGCCAGUUGCCGCCAGUUUAUCGGCGGGAGAUUUGGCGGCAGGUUCACCGGAAUUAUUAUUAUUAUUAUUAACUUUCGGUUGUUGUGGAGAUUUUAAAGGGGAAGGUUGAGAGGUGGAAGUAGAACGUCUGUUUCCUAAAUGAGAAACAUCAGACAUCAUUGAUUUACUUGGCCAUGAGCCACCUCGACUUGUACUAGAUUUUGUUUCAAUCAUUGUCAUUUCAGCUUCCACACGUCUCUUCCAUGUGCUGAC
rnacentral:lncRNA from 1 species